rnacentral:rRNA from 1 species
CAGUAGCCGCGGUAAUACAGAGGGUGCGAGCGUUAAUCGGAUUUACUGGGCGUAAAGCGUGCGUAGGCGGCUUUUUAAGUCGGAUGUGAAAUCCCUGAGCUUAACUUAGGAAUUGCAUUCGAUACUGGGAAGCUAGAGUAUGGGAGAGGAUGGUAGAAUUCCAGGUGUAGCGGUGAAAUGCGUAGAGAUCUGGAGGAAUACCGAUGGCGAAGGCAGCCAUCUGGCCUAAUACUGACGCUGAGGUACGAAAGCAUGGGGAGCAAACAGGAUUAGAGACCCCGGUAGUCCCUGUCUCUUAUAC